AUGUCUCUAGUGAUCCCUGAGAAGUCCCAGCAUAUUUUGUGAGUACUCAACACCAACAUUGAUGGGCAUCGGAAAAUAGCUUUUGCCAUCAUUGCCAUCAAGGGCGUGUGUUGAAGAUACGCUCCUGUGGUGUUGAGGAAAGCUGACAUUGACCUCACUGAGAGGCCAGGAGAACUCACUGAGCAUAAGGUGGAUGUGUGAUCACCACUAUGCAGAAUCCAUGCCAGCCCAAGAUCCCAGACUGGUUCUCAAACAGACAGAAAGAUAUAAAGGACGGAAAAUAUAGCCAGGACCUGGCCAAUGGUCUGGAUAACAACCUCUGUGAGAACCUGGAGCAACUGAAGAAGAUUUGAGCCCAGAGAGGGCUAUGCCACUUCUGGGGCCUUCAUGUCCCAGGCCAGCACAGCAAGACCACUGGCCGCUGUGGCCAUACCAUGGGUGUAUCUAAGAAGAAAUAA
rnacentral:lncRNA from 1 species